ACAAUGGAGAGUUUGAUCCUGGCUCAGGAUGAACGCUAGCUACAGGCUUAACACAUGCAAGUCGAGGGGAAACGACAUCGAAAGCUUGCUUUUGAUGGGCGUCGACCGGCGCACGGGUGAGUAACGCGUAUCCAACCUGCCCACCACUUGGGAAUAACCUUGCGAAAGUAAGACUAAUGCCCAAUGAUAUCUCUAGAAGACAUCUGAAAGAGAUUAAAGAUUUAUCGGUGAUGGAUGGGGAUGCGUCUGAUUAGCUUGUUGGCGGGGUAACGGCCCACCAAGGCGACGAUCAGUAGGGGUUCUGAGAGGAAGGUCC
rnacentral:rRNA from 1 species